UUUGAGGUGCGCUGGCUCCGGGAAAGCAGGAGCUGGUUUCUUGGAACAAGUUGGGGCCUAAAAACUCCCCUUGCUGGUCUGGAAUACGUGGUGCUCCCAGCCACGGCUGGCACCCCUCCAGCUUCCAGGUCUGGGCAUACACUGGAGUCCUGGGCCCCUCCUGUACCCAGGACUCCCCAUUAGCACACGAGCACCCCGAAUGCCCUGGGAGCCCUCCUAGUGCCUGCCCACUGGGCUCAUUCCAGUGCCCCAGCACUGGCGUGCGGGCACUCAGCAAAUGUCUGCUGAGCUGUGAACCAGCAGCGAAUGAACAGACAGGCCCUGCAGGCCUGGGCCUGGGUGAGCGCAGAGUGCCGAGGUCCUGAGGCAGCUUCUGGGGCCCUGGCAUCUCAGGGUUUGAAGCUCUGGCCCCAGAGUCUGCCGACAUCACAGCAGAGCGCUGCGUCCACUGGAAGCCUGGCUCUCUGCCCACACGGCUCUCAGCGCACAGGCGCUCUGCUGCCCCCAUCCCAGGGAGGCUGGCUCGCUUCCUGUUAAUUUUUCCCGGCGCUCCAGGGUUCCUGCCGUGGACCACACAUUCCACACAGUGGACAUGUCAGCUCCAUGCUUUCCCAGAGACCCCACCUUCUCCCCUUCUGCUUUUCCCACUGGAGCUCCCCCGGGUCCCCUUCCCUCCCUCCGAGGCAGCCUCAGGUAGAGCUGCCUGAAAACAUCUUCCUUCUGCCUUCCUCAGCUAACUGGCUGGGCCUUGCGGCCUGGGGUAGAUUAUUUCCUUCCUGAAUGGAGAAGGCGUCUUCCCUGGUCCUCAGCUUCAGCUGCCGGUGACUCAUCGGUCUGAACGUCCCUCCUCAGACUGUGAGCUGAGGCCCCCCGCCCUGCCGAGGGUGUGGGCCCCCAUUCACUCCCCGAGCCACGGUCUCGUGUGUCCUCUAACCUACUCCUCGUCUUUUCUCUAAGCCUGGCUGUUUCCUGGAGUCACCUCUGCGGUCACCCCUCCCACCUGUCUUCUCCGGGAUAUCCAUCAGAGGGGACCGGGGACUCUGGGUACAUUCUGGUGGUGAGCCCUUCUCUCCGGCUCGGUCAUCUUAGUCCUCCUGUGGGGGGGGACCCCUCAACACGCGCUCCUUCCCUCCAACCUCUGCGCGGCCGCAUCUAUCACCGUCCAACAGAAUGAAUGGUAUUUUCUUUGAACUGGCUUCUUUUCUUCCCUGGCUGGUCUCCAGUCCUCCACACACUCUCGUCCCCCUUUGUCUCAGCCUCUGUCGGUCCCUCUCUCAGGCACCAGUUUGUCUUCCAACACCUGGUGGUGCCGGUGGCUGUCAGCUCCCACUUCAGAAACAGGCACGGUGCCGGCAGGUGGCCUCCGCGCCUGGUGCUCCUGUGCACACGAGUCUGUGCUUCCGCCUGCCAGGCUCUUUGGGACGCGCCCCGGCCCACAAGGGUCUGUAACUGGGGCCUGUCCUCCAGCCACGUGGUUCUGCAGAGCACCCACCCAUGAGUGCUCACCCAGCGCUGGCCUUUGCCUGGUAUCCCGGAGCUAGUGCAGGUGAGGGGCCGCGACUCUCCUUCCUGCUGCCCUUGGUACGUGCCAGCCAUGCUGUCCAGGCAACAGUGUCACUGAGAGAUGCUGGAUGCCCUGUGGUGGCCCCUUGGGCCACAGAGGCGAGUCUGCUGCCCAUUAAAGGCAGCCCGGGAAGCUCCCUGGAGAUGAGGACAGCAGGCAGCGAGGGCUGAGUGCUGUCUGUCCUCCCCGUGAGUGUGGGCCCUUCGGGAGAAGGGAGA